GGACAGUUGGCCGAGCGGCUGAAGGCGCCACCCUGCUAAGGUGGUAAGGGGGUUUUUCCCCUUCGUGGGUUCGAAUCCCACACUGUCCGCCA
rnacentral:tRNA from 1 species